rnacentral:rRNA from 16 species
GUAAGAGCAUUUGGUGGAUGCCUUGGCAUGUACAGGCGAAGAAGGACGUGGCACGCUGCGAUAAGCGUCGGGGAGAUGUGAGCAAUCUUUGAUCCGGCGAUUUCCGAAUGGGGAAACCCA